GACGAACGCUGGCGGCAUGCCUAAUACAUGCAAGUCGAACGAGUUCCCGUUGAUUGACGUGCUUGCACUGAUUUCAACAUUGGAACGAGUGGCGAACUGGUGAGUAACACGUGGAAAACCUGCCCAGAAGCAGGGGAUAACACUUGGAAACAGGUGCUAAUACCGUAUAACAACAAAAACCGCAUGGUUUUUGUUUGAAAGGUGGCUUCGGCUAUCACUUCUGGAUGGUUCCGCGGCGCAUUAGCUUGUUGGUGGGGUAACGGCUCACCAAGGCGAUGAUGCGUAGCCGACCUGAGAGGGUAAUCGGCCACAUUGGGACUGAGACACGGCCCAGACUCCUACGGGAGGCAGCAGUAGGGAAUCUUCCACAAUGGACGCAAGUCUGAUGGAGCAAUGCCGCGUGAGUGAAGAAGGGUUUCGGCUCGUAAAACUCUGUUGUUGAAGAAGAACGGGUGUCAGAGUAACUGUUGACAUCGUGACGGUAUUCAACCAGAAAGCCACGGCUAACUACGUGCCAGCAGCCGCGGUAAUACGUAGGUGGCAAGCGUUGUCCGGAUU
rnacentral:rRNA from 1 species